ensembl:lncRNA
AGUUUGCUGUGGCCAUCUAGUAGCUACAGUGUGUCAGUGCUGGUGAGCUUCCGCUGUUUCCACCACUUACCAGUCUGUGGGAGUCACUCUUUAUUCAGAAACCCAAGAGUCAUGCACAUCCUUUAAAGCACUGCCCCAGACCAUAAGGCAGAGCAUCGCUGUAUUCAAACACAAUACAAUAUGGACCUGGUUCCUGUAUUUCCAAAACACAAAAGUCAAAGUAAACGUCGAAGAAAAGCUGGCUGAUUCAUUUGGAACUGUGGGCAUCAGGAGCAUAAAUCCUACAGAAUGAAUUGGUUUCUUUCAGCAGUCUUUAAUCAGGUGACUAGGAUUAGAAUAUAUACUCUCCUUCAUCAUAUGCUUUAGACAGUAAGUCAUUUUGCCACUGGCAUUGACCUGUUCAAUCUCCCAGCCCCUUCUUCCUUUGCGGUCAUCACCUUUCGUGGAGGGGACACGGCGCCAUGGUAACAGGUGAGCGGCUCUCUCCUCCCUUGUACGUAGCAGACAUUUUAGUCCACUCGAGGAGCCCUCAAAGCAUAGCUUCUUAUUCAAAUGAGGAAGGAUCCCUUCCAGAGACGGUAAGCUGCUGGUGGCGGUGGACAUUGUGCCUACCUGUUUUUGUGUUCUUAUGGCCUGUCACCGAUGCCUGGAAUAUCCUUGAUGUAAUUCUGAAAGUAUUGCUCAAAGGGUAAAUAAAUGAAUAUCCCACUGCCAGAAAGGCUUUUCCCAUGUUGUGUCUCAGGGCACCUUCUGUUGCAACUGUCAAAAAAAUUGGACUUUAAUUAAGGCAAAGAGAGAAUUUGGGGGCUAACAUAAGCUAGAACACUCAGGAAUGUUAUUUUGGCUUUGCUGGGUCUCCUUUUUUUCAGCUGUGGUGAACGGGGCUCCUCUCUAGUUGCAGCGUGCAGAUGUACCGCACUGGCUUCUCUUGUGGAGCACGGCUCUAGGGCGCCUGGGCUCCACAGUCACGAUGUCUGGGCUCUAGAGCACAGGCUCAGUACUUUGGCGCUUGGGCUUCGUUGCUCUGUGGCAUGUGAAAUCUCCCCGGCUCAGGGGUCGAACCCGUGUCUCCUGCAUUGGCAGGUGGAUUCUUUACCCCUGAGCCACUAGGGAAACCCCCGAAUAGCUUUAAAUGUGAUGUUUAAAUGGAAACUGCUCGUUUUGAUAAUAGAGUUGUAUCUACAGCACCAAGAAAACUACUUACUUUGAUCAAUACGAUCAAAAUUGUUGACUCACAGGGCCCAAGAGAAAGGGGGAUCUGUGAAGACAGGCUACUGAGAUGGUCUCCAAGUUUUCAAAAAUAGUCAAUGUCGCUUUUCAUUGCUGUUUUUGCUAUGAGUCAUCCCGGUUAUCUGUCGCUGCUUAAGGAAUGAUUCCCAAAAUUAGGGCUUAAAAUGAUUUAUUAUUAUCAUGUCUCAUGCUCUAGGAACCAAGAACUUGGCAAGAGCACAGCCAGAUGACUCAUCUUGCCCUGAUAGCUGGGGCCUCAUCCGGAAUAACACACAUGUCAAGGACUGGAGCAGCUGAGGGCUGGGUGAGCACCUUUUCUCUCUCCAGUGCAGUCUUGCAGCCUGCUGUGUCAUGAACUAAGAACGCCCAUGAGCUAAGCACAGUUUUAAAAUGUAUUAACGUUUUAAAAAGAAUCUGAAGAAGAAUAAAGCCCCAUGAGGUCUGAAAGUUAUAUGAGAU